rnacentral:rRNA from 1 species
AUGGCUUCUGCUGCCCGCGUGCUGGCGCCAAUGGCGCUGCUGCUCUCGCUCGUGCUCCAGCUCGCGGCGGCGGCCGCCGCGGUGUCGCCUCCCGGUCCCAGCCCCACCUUCCCGGGCGACAAGGCCGCGCUGGCGUCGCUGAAAUCCGCCGUGGACGCGGCCACCAUCCCAUCCUACUCCUGCCUCGCCUCGUGGGACUUCGCCCGCGACCCCUGCGCCGCCUUCCCCUGCGGCGUCCACUGCAACACGCCCCCCAACUCGUCUCACCAGCGCGUCGCCGGCGUCUCCCUCGACCCCGCGGGGUACUCCGGCACGCUCCCGGCGCCCGUCCUCGCCUCGCUCCCUUUCCUCCAGACCCUCUCCCUCCGUGGCAACAGCUUCCACGGCUCGCUGCCGGCGGGGGUGGCGCUGCCUCCGAGCCUCCGCGUCCUCGUCCUCUCCGGCAACGACUUCACCGGCGAGAUACCGGCGUCCCUCUUCACCCCGGCCUCGUCGCUCGACGAGCUCGACCUCUCCCGCAACGCGUUCACCGGAGGGAUACCGCCUCAGAUCGCGUCCUUGGGCUCCCUGACGCGAAUGGAGCUGCAGCACAACCGCCUCAGCGGGAGCCUGCCGUCGAUGGGCAAGAUGCGCUCGCUCGUCCACCUCGACGUCAGCGACAACAAGCUGUCCGGCCCGGUGCUGGACGCGCCCGGGCGGCUGCCUCCGACGGUCCUGGCCGUCGUGGCGCGUGACAACAGGCUCUCUGGGCCGUUGCAAGCUGCGGCCUUCCACGCUCUCCCUGAGAUGCAGGUGCUGGACCUCACCAACAAUGCGGUCACCGGCGCGGUCCCCGGCGCCGCGUUCGAACACCCGGCGCUGGCGCAGCUGCGGCUGGGAUCCAACCAGCUCGGGACGGUGGAGGAGGCGUCGAACGGCGUCGCGUCGAGCCAGCUCCUGGAGGUGGACCUCAGCGGCAACAGAAUCACGGGGCGGCUGCCCAGGUGCCUCGGGGCGAUUCCGCGUCUCAGGACGGUGGGGCUCGACCGGAACCGGUUCGUCGGAGGCGUGCCGAAGCAGUACGCCGUUCGCGCCGCGGCGGUGGAGGUCGUCGACGGGAAGGCGCCGUUUGCGAGGCUGAUGCUGCAGGGGAACUACCUCUGCGGAGCCCUGCCGCGUGAGCUGAGGCAGAUGAAGGAGGGCGGUGUUAUGGUGAGCCUGGCGGACAACUGCUUGCUCAAGUGCCCGCACAAGUUCUUCUUCUGCCAGGGGCCGCCGCAGAAGAACCGUGACACAUGUCCCAAGUGCGAACCAUGA